AAGACUAUACUUUCAGGGAUCAUUUCUGUAGUAUGUGACUAGAUUGUCUCUAACUAUACUGGCUAACUAUAGUGGCUUUAUUGUUAGCUUGGACGGCAUGGGAUGACCUUUGUUGAUUAUCAACUUAAAUAGGAAAAGAAAAGU
rnacentral:snoRNA from 1 species